AACUUUCAACAACGGAUCUCUUGGUUCUGGCAUCGAUGAAGAACGCAGCGAAAUGCGAUAAGUAAUGUGAAUUGCAGAAUUCAGUGAAUCAUCGAAUCUUUGAACGCACAUUGCGCCCCUUGGUAUUCCGGGGGGCAUGCCUGUUCGAGCGUCAUCU
rnacentral:rRNA from 1 species